AGCAGCCGCGGUAAUUCCAGCUCCAAUAGCGUAUAUUAAAGUUGUUGCAGUUAAAAAGCUCGUAGUUGAAUUUCGGGGUCAGUAGGUUGGUCAUGCCACUGGUAUGUACUGGUCUCACUGAUUCCUCCUUCCUGAUGAACUGUAAUGCCAUUAAUUUGGUGUUGCAGGGAAUCUGGACUGUUACUUUGAAAAAAUUAGAGUGUUUAAAGCAGGCUAACGCCUGAAUACAUUAGCAUGGAAUAAUGAAAUAGGACGUUCGAUCCUAUUUUGUUGGUUUCUAGGAUUGACGUAAUGAUUAAUAGGGAUAGUUGGGGGCAUUAGUAUUCAAUUGUCAGAGGUGAAAUUCUUGGAUUUAUUGAAGACUAACUACUGCGAAAGCAUUUGCCAAGGAUGUUUUCAUUAAUCAAGAACGAAAGUUAGGGGAUCGAAGACGAUCAGAUACCGUCGUAGUCUUAACCAUAAACUAUGCCGACUAGGGAUCGGAUGAUGUAAUUUUUAAUGA
rnacentral:rRNA from 1 species